UACGAAGGGGGCUAGCGUUGCUCGGAAUCACUGGGCGUAAAGGGUGCGUAGGCGGGUCUUUAAGUCAGGGGUGAAAUCCUGGAGCUCAACUCCAGAACUGCCUUUGAUACUGAAGAUCUUGAGUUCGGGAGAGGUGAGUGGAACUGCGAGUGUAGAGGUGAAAGUUCGUAGAUAUUCGCAAGAACACCAGUGGCGAAGGCGGCUCACUGGUCCGGUACUGACGCUGAGGUGCGAAAGCGUGGGGAGCAAACAGG
rnacentral:rRNA from 1 species